ensembl:snRNA U6 U6 spliceosomal RNA
AUGCUACCUUCACAGCACAUAUACUAAAACUGGAACGAUACACAGAUUAACAUGGUACCUGAGCAAGGACAAAAUACAAAUUCAUGGAGCAUUCCGUAUUUUA